AGUGGGCAAGCGGAGGGUGGGAGGUGGGCGCAGGUUGCUCGUCUGUGCUGGCCGGGGGUGUGCCCCUGCUUCCCCCCGCCCCCGUCCCGCAAGAGAUGCCCAGUGGGCGGAGUAACAGGAACCACGGAGCAGCACAGAUUUGGCUGAAAAGCCCCGGGUGGGCGCGCAGCACCCGCUGGUGGGGGACUUGUCAGAUGCGAACUGAUGAACACUGAGCGCUCAGCUGCAGAGCAGGCACCUGUGCUGAACGUCAGAGCAAAGUUUUCCAACAGUGCACUCCGCGCUGAUGUCUGCAUUGGCUCUCAGGGAAUAGAGCCCGGCGCUGGGGGCCGCGUGACCCGCAGGGGCCACGGGAGGGGCUUGCCAGCUGGGGUCCCGCUCACCUUCACUGGCGUCAUCCAGUCUUGCCACCCCUUCCAGGCCAGGGGAGGCUCAGGACCAAUACGUGUGGCCUUGCCGUGCCAGCCCGGCUGCCGGGGAGCUGUUCUGCGGAGCUGCUUUACGCUGAGCUGUGGUUAUGACAAAACAGGAACAAGAGAGGAACAGAAAAAGAUCAGCCAAGUGUUUUUCAUGGCGUCGUUUUUCUUGAAGAUUCACUUUAAUAGUUGGAACUAUAGGGAAGAAACGUUUUGGAAGCGAGAAUAAGACUACGACAAGCCAAACAGCAUAAUAGUCUAAAUGUGAAAUAAAAGAAUGUAUCACUUCCUGAAAAAAGAAAGAAAAAAUUGAGCUCACUGACACACACGUAUGCACCUGUGCACACAUCCCAUACACGUUCCUACAUGGAUAUUAGAAGAGAUUGUUUACUUGGAUUUUUAAAAAAUUACUUAUCUUGGGCUUCCCUGGUGGCGCAGUGGUUGGGAGUCCGCCUGCCGAUGCAGGGGACACGGGUUCGUGCCCCGGUCCGGGAAGAUUCCACAUGCCGCGGAGCGGCUGGGCCCGUGAGCCAUGGCCGCUGAGCCUGCGCAUCCGGAGCCUGUGCUCCGCAACGGGAGAGGCCACAACAGUGAGAGGCCCGCGUACCGCAAAAAAAAAAAAAAAAAAAAGAAAUUACUUAUCUUAAAAAAAAAAUAAGCAGAGGAGGAGGGAGGGGGGGUUUAGAGGAAGGCUGUCAAAAGGGACAAACUUCCAGUUAUAAGAUAAAUAACUACUGGGGAUGUCAUGUACAGGACGAUAAAUGUAAUGAGCACUGCUGCAGGUUAUAUAUGAAAGUUGUUGAGAGAGUAGGCCUAAGAGUUCUCAUCACAAGAAAAAGAAUUUUUUUUCUAUUUCUUUAAUUUUGUGUCUACAUGGAUGAUGGACGUUCACCAGACUUACAGCGGUCAUCAUUUCAGGAUGUACAAAAGUCAAAUCAUUAUUCUGUACGCCUCAACUGUAUUCAGCGCUCUGUGUCAAUUAUAUCUCAAUAAAACUGGAAGAAAACCAAAAAUUAAGCAGA